rnacentral:rRNA from 1 species
GAACCGGACAAACGUUAUUCGGAAUUAUUGGGCUUAAAGGGUGCGUAGGCGGCGCGGGUAAGUGAGGUGUGAAAGCCCACGGGCUCAACCGUGGAAUUGCGCUUCAUACUGCCGUGCUAGAGGGAGACAGAGGUAAGCGGAACUGAUGGUGGAGCGGUGAAAUGCGUUGAUAUUAUCAGGAACACCGGUGGCGAAGGCGGCUUACUGGGUCUCUUCUGACGCUGAGGCACGAAAGCUAGGGUAGCGAACGGGAUUAGAUACCCCGGUAGUCCUAGCUGUAAACGAUGAGCACUUGGUUGGGGAACCUCCCAUAGUUUCCCGACCGAAGCGAAAGUGUUAAGUGCUCCGCCUGGGGAGUAUGGUCGCAAAGGCUG